AUGCAGCUGAAGUUCAGGCUGCUGGUCCCUGAGUGCAGGAGACCCACGGGCACCCCGCCAUCCACUGCGGCCUUGUCAUCAGCACUAGCGCGCCGUGUUGGCUCACAAAGGUUCGAGAGACAGCCGGUGGUGUGCCUCUCUCCCCAGUUCCCUGUGGCAGCACACUGCUGGCUUGGCACCGGCCACAGCGGCAGCACGGACACCUCCCCGAGGAACACAGCAGACGGAGCCUGUGUUUCUUUCCAGGAGAGCAGCUUGACUAGCACACACGGGUCGUGUGUGCUUGUGGCCGGCUCUGCCUCUACUGGUCUUUGUAACAAGAGACAGCAAACAGCAGAAGUUGUGAAUGUGACUGCAGGGUUCUUCAACUUAAAGUCAGACACUGCUAAAAUCUAAAUGAUCAAGAAUAUUGAUUACAACACCAAAAUCAAGACGAGGGAAUGCCUGAGAAUUCCCAGAAAUUCCACGUUCUCAUUCCUGAAUCCGGAACAUUGGUCUCAACUAGAAAUUCGGAAAAUUCCUCUGGGUUACUGGCUAUCAAAUUUUUUAAGCCACAAAAAAAAUCCCUUUUUUUAAACAAGAAAAAUCCCUUUUUGGUCAAACAAAAUGUAUCCUGGAUACAAAGAUUUUUUUAAAAAAGAGAUGAAAAUGAGCCUUUGGCUGAAGGAGACAGGGAAUAAGGAAAUGGGGUUGGACCUUGAUCUUGGCAGCCAGUUUUCUGAGUGGCCAGAGGUAGGGCCGGUCACCUUAGUGUGUAAGUCUUGGUUUCCUCGUCUGCAAACUGUGGCUACAGCCAGCUCUACUGAGCCCCCAGGCUUGUCACAGGGGUCCAUGGAGCUGUGACACCCAUGACAGAGUAAGAGCAGGUGUCAGCGUUGCCUUGCCAAGGUUCUGCACUGCUCUCUGGGGACAUAGAGGGUCGGCAGUCCCACUGGAGAGGACACACACACGUUGGGUACAAGCCUGACCAAGUGAGCCCAGCAGGUGACAUGGGACAGAAAGCCCAGGCCCAACAUCACAUGCACAUGUUCAAAGGGCAAAGUCCUAGAUUAAUGGUACUGAAGAGGGUGGCAUUCAAGCCAAUGGUGGGGUCCCAAGAUGGGGCUUUUGGGAAGUGAUUGGAUUGGGUUAGGUUGCUAGGGUGGAGCCCUGGCAUGGAAUUGUGAUCCAUUUGUAAGGAGAGACCACGCAGGUGUACAGGCUCCCUGUCUCUCUGCUUCCUUCUCGCCGUGGGAUCACUCCUCCACCAUCCUCCAACCCCACCAGACACCAACGGGAUAAGCCGAGGGGAUCACCCAGUCUUAGACUGAGAACCUCCAAAACCGUAAGCCGCCAUCUUCUCGGGGAUGUGUGAGAGCGGUGGGAAGCUGACUAGCACACCUCAUCCCAGCCACUCCCUUGGGAUCUUGUCUCCACAAGAAUCUGCCCCCUGUUAAGGGCGUCAAGAUGCAAACGAAACCUUGGUUUAAAAUCCGGUCACUCUAGCUGGUCGACAUGGGCAGCGCAACAGAAAAUUUCAUCCCUCACAUGGAAGUUGGGGACGACACAAAGGGGAGUGGGGAUUAUGAGGAAGCUUGAGCUCCCGGAAAUGGGGACCAGAACACUGCAUUCAGUCUGAAGGUGCCAUCAAACAUGAGAAGGUCGCCAGCGACACCAGCUUCCCUCUUGCGACUGGGACUUCCGCCUGUCACGGCCUGAGCCGUGUCCCCUUCUCCCCUGGGCAUCCAUGGCUAACCCAGCAGGAGGACGCAACUUUGGCCGCACCCCAUGCACCCCGUGUGUCCUUGCUAAGUGGGGCCCUAGCAACUCUCAGGCCAGGGGAGCCUUUGUGCAAAGAACAGUUGUUUGUCCUGGAACGGCCAUCGGCCAGCUGGGCCAUCGGCCAGCUCACUUUCCCUAACCUUUGUACGAGUGUCUUAAGGCACUAUGGCAAGUCAGGAAAACACAAUGGCAGGCUUGCUCAACUAAGGGCCCACGGGACAGAAGCUACAGGGUCGAAAGCAAUCUCCUCCCCGAGCCGUCCCCACUGAGGCCAUCUUCUGCUUCUAGACUUGCUCCUGUGUCACAGAAACUCACACACAGAAGAGGGGACUUCGAAAAGUCCAUGAGAAACUCGCGUUAUGUGUUAGUGCCAUUUUUCACCCACUUUGAGGCCCCUCACGUCUGUAAUUCAGGUUUUUGUUCUAUUUUUGUUUUCUUGGCAAUGAUGCUUUUUUUAAUAAGACCACCCUGUCACUUGCUGCUUUUUUCUCUAUUUAUAGUGAGUCGUUCCCAAGUCAGUACAUCUCUGUAAGGGCCACCUAUUAUUUCACUUUGCGGAGGUCUCAUAAUUUUUUCAUCUAUUUUCCCAUUAAUGAUGCCUGGCUCUUCAUAAUAUUUUACCAUUAAAAAUAAUAUUGCAGGGGCUGGCACUAUGGUGCAAUGGUUAAAGCCACCAUCUGCGGUGGCGGCAUCCCGUGUGGAUGCCAGUUCGAGUCCCAGCUGCUCCACUUCUGAUCCAUCUCCCUGCUAAUGCACCUGGGAAAGACGUAGAAGAUGGCCCACAUCCUUGGGCCCCUGCACCUGUGUGGGAGACCUGGAAGAAGCUCCAGGCUCCUGGCUUCGGAUCUGCCCAGCUCUGGGCAGCCAUCUGGGGAAUGAACCAGUGGAUGGAAGACCUCUCUCUCUCUCUCUCUCUCUCUGCCUCUCUGUAACUCUGACUUUCAAAUAAAUAAAUCUUAAAAAAAAAAAAAAAAAAAGGA
ensembl:lncRNA